ACAGCACAGGAGUGACAGCGUGGUUGCACAGCAGAACGCAGUGCCAUGCUGCUCCUCACAGCUCCAGCUUCCCUGCUCCUGGCACUGCCUCAGAAUACAGCUUCAUCAAGAGAUGCCAAUGAUGUGAGAACAUGGAGCUGCAAUGGGUGCAAUGCUGCGGGGCUGCACUGUGACUCCACCGUCGUCCCUACCCUCCAUCACCACAGCAACCUCCUUUGCCUGCCAACAUCUGGCUAAAAGGUGAGUUAAAGGCUGACAAACAGGAGACCAGGAACCAGAAGACUAUGUAUUGUGGUUCCCAACUGAGUUUGGUCACGGCAUUGGAAAUGUCCAUACAGCAUAUCCAACUCCAACCUGAAAAGCCGGAUAAAGUAGAUCCCAUCUUCCUCCAAAACUUCAAAUGAGAAACAAAUAAAGUUUUUGCAACCCUUUGCA
rnacentral:lncRNA from 1 species